UCACUCGAUGGCCGGCAAUGUGCACUGCGUCAUCGUUCUAAGUGUCUCGCUGCUGCUUUUCAAAGUGUUAGCACGAUCUUCUUUAUUUUAUUUGUUUCUCUUGGUUAACAAUAAUACUAAUUCAAGAACACAUACACACACGUAUUCGAUAAGUUUACACAAUUGCAUUAAAAAAAGACUAUCGGUGCUUCUGAAGGAGAUGAAUAUCUAACAAAUAACUGUUCCAUAGAAAGUUACUGUAUUAGACUGAUUUGCACGAUUACACUCACACGCGUUCCAAGUGCCACCAAUUCCAUCGAUGCUUAUAAGAGUACAACUUAUAUUCCUUUUUUUCUUUUUUUUACUUUUUAGAUAUUAAAAAUGGUUUUCAUAUUUAGUUGUUAAUAUUUCUUUACACUUUUACCGGUAUCUUCAUUAUCUCAAUCAUUCGGUGUCCUCGCUAUUUUAUUUAAUCGUUCUAUUACACUUUCACCGGCCUAUCAGUCAAUGAUGUUAAAAUAUAAUCAUUCAACUUGUUCGAACAAAUCUCACUAACAUUGUCUUAUGAGGUGUUCCUCGUGCUGGAGGUGUAAUGAUAACAUAAAUGUAUACAUCUUUCGAUACUUUCGAAUGCGUCAAACAUUGUUGCUCGAGUGCAGUGAGUGAGUAUCGUGGGAGGUAACGCCUCGGUGCGAUCCUCUUGGGGAGGAAAGAACGGAAAGUGGAGUUAACAGUUGAAAAUGGAGAAUCGUGUGCUUGGACCUACGCCGGAGGAGACGACAGCGGCGGUAACAACAAGCUGCGGUAUUGGUACAUCUUCUCCAGUGGCAUCGGCGCCGACCAACACGGCUACUGGUGUCGGUGGUUCUGGUGCUCUGACUUCGGCCACUUGUACCAUACAGAAUCCCGUGGUCGUGGUGGCGAGCCCGCCAACUAAGCAUCAACAGCCUGCUGCCGUGCUGUCCACUAUCCCUACUGUCCCUACUGUUCCAUCCGUUUCCGGUGUCACCGCUGCUGUGCCCAAGAUACUCAGCAGAAACAUCAACGGCACGCUGGUGCAGACGUCCGUACCUCAAAAUGAAGCGGAACUACAACUGUACAGAGUGAUGCAACGUGCGUCUCUGUUGAGCUACUACGACACGCUUUUAGAAAUGGGUGGUGACGACGUACAACAAUUAUGCGAUGCUGGAGAAGAAGAAUUUCUGGAAAUUAUGGCGCUCGUUGGUAUGGCAAGCAAACCUCUCCACGUCAGGAGACUUCAAAAAGCUCUUCAGGAAUGGCUCACAAAUCCUUCACUUUUCCAAACACCAGUUGUACCAACAACGGCUACGUGUAAAGCUCCUACUGGCAUAGGAUUUCCCUGCGUGAGUCCGAGACCGCAAGUGCAAAAUCUUCAAGGUUUCACAACGACUUCGCAAACAGCAACUCCUACUCCAUAUGUUUCGUCGCACGUAUCUCUAACACCAUUACCAUGUAGAAGUACUAGCCCUAUUGUAUCCGUUACAAGUGUAACAGCACCAGUGGCCUCAACAACAUUUCGACAAAGUCCAAGUCCCAAUACACCUCUGCCUUAUACUACUUCUCACAGUCCUGGUAUAUUACAGGUAGGGACAUGUGAGUCAUCCUGUGGUAGUGGUACAACACCAAGUCCUAGUGGCGGUGGUGGUGCGCCUGCGAGUCCAACGCAACCUACUCCAACCCUUUUGCAAUCUCAAAUACAAAGACUUGCAGAGGCAGCUGAAAGACUUGCCGCUACUAUUCGACCCGUUGAUCCAAAACCUCAUAAUGUUAAGAAAAAAAUUUGCAAAAAUUUAGAAAUGGUAAUGGCUAUGCCUGAUAGUGAUCCACGUAGAAUGGAAGAAAUUCGAAAAUAUGCAGCAAUUUAUGGAAGGUUUGACUGUAAAAGGAAACCGGAGAAACCAUUGACAUUGCACGAAGUGUCAGUAAAUGAGGCUGCUGCACAAAUUUGCAGGUUCGUACCUGCCCUUCUUACUAGAAGAGAUGAACUUUUUCCUUUGGCCCGACGCGUUGUGAGAGAUUCUGGGUAUCAUUAUUCAAAAAAUCAUUACUUAUCCGUGUCAAGGCCACGUGAAAAUGGCGAAGAAAACGAACCUGAUCGUACAAAACGACAAAAGCUCGAGCUUGAGGGUGAGAAUGAAGAUGCGACGCAGCACGUAAACAAUUGCAACACAUAAACUACCACUACGUUGAUAUACGCGCGAAGCACGAGCAGAAAAGGUCAAGUAUAGCUUUUGCAUAACAUGCAUGGCUUUUGUACUAAAUGUUUGUAUACUUAUGUUUGUUAAUUAACAAGUAUUUAAAAAACGUUAAAUAUUUUAUAAAUGUACAUAUAUAUAAAAAAAUUCUUCUCAGGAACUGUUUUUCCUUAAGUAGAAGGUGCUUUUUUUUAAUAAGAAUUUUUUUUAAUUUAUGGAUUAACAUAUUAAAAAUUAAAUUACUACCUAAAACAGAAUUAAUUCAUACAAAUAUUUUCUUCCACACUUGUUAGGACUCUAUGCUUUGUUCCUGGCGUCCUUACGAGUUGUGUAUGCCUGUUAUAUUAGUUAUAUCGAGUAAUUGUUAUUAACUAUAGUAAUAAUAAUAAUUAGCUUUUUUCUGGCUUUCAUUUCCUACGCUAUAUUUGUCACUUCUACUGUCUGUAGCAGUUCACUGUUCUAGGAGGAGUUGGAUCUACGUUGCCCUGAAAUGGAUGUAGGUAACUCAACAAUUAGAAGACACAGAUCUUCAAGUUUGGAGGAAGAAGAAUAACAAUGGUAUGUUCAGUGCGAGUAUCGAGGAGAUUAGCGACUCU